UUUUAUGAGAGUUUGAUCCUGGCUCAGGACGAACGCUGGCGGCGUGCCUAAUACAUGCAAGUCGUACGCUUCUUUUUCCACCGGAGCUUGCUCCACUGGAAAAAGAAGAGUGGCGAACGGGUGAGUAACACGUGGGUAACCUGCCCAUCAGAAGGGGAUAACACUUGGAAACAGGUGCUAAUACCGUAUAACAAUCGAAACCGCAUGGUUUUGAUUUGAAAGGCGCUUUCGGGUGUCGCUGAUGGAUGGACCCGCGGUGCAUUAGCUAGUUGGUGAGGUAACGGCUCACCAAGGCCACGAUGCAUAGCCGACCUGAGAGGGUGAUCGGCCACAUUGGGACUGAGACACGGCCCAAACUCCUACGGGAGGCAGCAGUAGGGAAUCUUCGGCAAUGGACGAAAGUCUGACCGAGCAACGCCGCGUGAGUGAAGAAGGUUUUCGGAUCGUAAAACUCUGUUGUUAGAGAAGAACAAGGAUGAGAGUAACUGUUCAUCCCUUGACGGUAUCUAACCAGAAAGCCACGGCUAACUACGUGCCAGCAGCCGCGGUAAUACGUAGGUGGCAAGCGUUGUCCGGAUUUAUUGGGCGUAAAGCGAGCGCAGGCGGUUUCUUAAGUCUGAUGUGAAAGCCCCCGGCUCAACCGGGGAGGGUCAUUGGAAACUGGGAGACUUGAGUGCAGAAGAGGAGAGUGGAAUUCCAUGUGUAGCGGUGAAAUGCGUAGAUAUAUGGAGGAACACCAGUGGCGAAGGCGGCUCUCUGGUCUGUAACUGACGCUGAGGCUCGAAAGCGUGGGGAGCAAACAGGAUUAGAUACCCUGGUAGUCCACGCCGUAAACGAUGAGUGCUAAGUGUUGGAGGGUUUCCGCCCUUCAGUGCUGCAGCUAACGCAUUAAGCACUCCGCCUGGGGAGUACGACCGCAAGGUUGAAACUCAAAGGAAUUGACGGGGGCCCGCACAAGCGGUGGAGCAUGUGGUUUAAUUCGAAGCAACGCGAAGAACCUUACCAGGUCUUGACAUCCUUUGACCACUCUAGAGAUAGAGCUUCCCCUUCGGGGGCAAAGUGACAGGUGGUGCAUGGUUGUCGUCAGCUCGUGUCGUGAGAUGUUGGGUUAAGUCCCGCAACGAGCGC
rnacentral:rRNA from 1 species